ACUGUAUGAGUUGUUAGAAUACAGUUGUUGGUGAUGGAUAUGCUGAAUGUGCAAUGACUGACCAGCAAUGCUCUUUGCUAUGAAGAACUGUAUGACCAUUGGCUUCCAAAAGUUUCCAAGAGAGAUGCUUGUAAACCUGUUUCUCUGUGGGCAAAAAGAGGAAGAGGUGCUGAAGGAAAGAGAAGGAUGUAACUCAGACAUCUCCCCUUCUGCAGAUGGAUAAUUCAAGAACAUCUACACAAAUUGGGUCACACACAGAGAACUGCUUGGUGGAUUGAGCCCUAAAUCUCGGUGCGGUGGUGCCCUGCUGUUACUACAAUGAGGCAAUGCUGUCCCUCGGUUGUGAAUCAAUGUUGGUGAAUCAAUUCUGCAUUAGCUUGCUGUAAUAAACCUUCUGUGUGUAUUCAUACCCCAGUUGCACAUUUAGAUAAAUGAAACGCUUUCCCCUCUAACCUUGAUAAUUGCUACAAUUAUUCACCUAUUUUCCUUUUUUAAAAAGAGAGAAAAAAAGAAAAAGAUAGAUGUUCAGAUUUAUUAACAGAAAGCCACAAGGAGAAUGUAAUUCAAAGCUCAAAGGACUAUCCGGAAUCCCACACCCCUUUUCCUCCUCUGUUAUGCAGCUGGUAGAGGAAGAACUACAGAAAGUAUAUGUCAUGAACCCCCAAUUGAUGGAAGCAAUAGCAAGACAUAACUGGAGGAAUUACGAACACAGCCACCCCAUACUGGACACCUACAUUAAGUUUGUGAACAAUGGUAACUUAGUGCUAGGUUGCAGGUUAUCCACUCAAGAAGAACCAGUGUAAAUAUGUGGGAAUAACUUCACACAUUCUUUCAGAGGUACCGUGUGACACAACGGAAAACACAGCUGCUCUCUGGCAAUAACAAGCUGUCUUCAUUUAGCAAGUGAAUGGAUAUGGCACACCCCCAACAGUCCUCCAUGGAACAGAGGAGACAAACUCAGAAACAUAGUCUCAGGAUGAAAAGUGAAACCUGACACUGUUGAAGUGUGCCACGACAUUCAUGGGUGAGAAACAUACCCCUUUACUUUUCUCCAAUGGAGCCAACAUUUUUUCAAAGAGAUAUCACUUAUAUUCAGGGUCUCGGAAGUACUAUUCAUUAUGACAAAAGCUGAAACGAAUAUUCACAAAUAUUCACAAAUUUAUCCAAACUUUUCAGUUCAGGUGGCAAAAGUCAUGUUUUUGAUUUCAGAAUUAGAAAUUUGAAUCCAUUACUCUUAUUAGUAAGCAUCAUGAUUGGUCUGUAGUGGCAUGACAUAUGUGGGUAACUUGUAGGCUGUCAGCUAUCAAUUACUGUCAAAUACUAAAUCCUAUUACAUGUCAGCUAUCAAAUAAGUCAAACUCUAAAUACAAAUGCUGUCAAACAUCAAACACUGAAGUCAAAUGUAAAGGGAAUCUGAAUAUAGAUAUCAACAAUGCACAGUUAUUUGAACAUUCGUGGAAUAUCUGAAGUGUAGUCAACAUAACAAUUCUUAAAGGGAACUUCUGAGUAUAUGGGGGAUUUAUUUGAGCUCUGGAAUGCACCUUCUUUUAUUUCUAGUUUUUUCAGAAUAUCUGUAAUUUCAAAAACACUUUUAAUUAUGAAUUCCUAAAUACCCUGCUUAGAGUGCUAUACAAUAAGCUGCUUAUUGUAAAAUGCAAGGUACAAUUUUGAAUAGAAGACAAUAUUUAUUACAAAUAAGUGACAAUGUGUGAAAAAAAACUUGGAAAGCACAUCUAUGCAAGUUUACUGCCUUAUUUAGUUGUUUAUAAUGCGCUUAUUUAAAAAUGUAUUAAUACACUGGAAGUUGCUCACAUGUACCCUUUUGAGAAUUAGCAUAUUUAAGCACCCAUAAUAAAAUGGGAAUUCUCACAGGUUGAUAAGAUGGUUUUUAACGCCAUUAUGUACAAAUAAUAAUGGAAUAAGCUUGAAACAAUAUAUUUAAGAUGAAGGAGAGAGAGUGUGAGAGAGAAAACCCAAAGAUGUUAGGUCAGACAAUAUCUCAAAUAACAUUUGGAAAAGGCUGCCAAUUGUUUGGAUAACUGUACAAUGCCAAAGCUUCUUAUAACAUUGUUAAGUCUUUAUUCAGUAAUACAUUAUCAUGCAUAUUUCAUAGCAGGGAUUACUAAGACAGAAUUGUGUGUCAUUUUUGUUGUAUGUCUUUAUAAUUACACCUUGAAGCCACAACUAGAUUUUUUUUUUACUACAUAUUCAUGAAAAGCGGACUUGUAAUUUGAUAAAGGGUAGCUUGUGUUCUCGACUCCAUUCAAACAGCAUCAUGAAGCAGAAUUAAAGUAGGCAUCUGUGUUCUCCCGGCAUUAAUCUCUUCAAGCACAUUCCAGCUGCUAUGAUGUGCAGGCAGGAGAUAAGUCCUAAACGGACUAAAGCUAAGCAAGCCAGACAACUCUAUUAUUGGCUUCAUAAUUGCUUAAUUAAACUUUUGUCACUAAUCAUUAUGAGGGCAAUAGAGCUGUUAUACUGGCUUCUGUUAAGCAAAAAUCAAUAAACUGUUGGAGUUAAUUUCGCCGUAUUUUUUGUCCUGCAAAUGGAAUUCAUUGCUGCCGGUUAGUGAUCUGUGGUGCUGGCGCUCGACUGAUAUGAGCAGCCAUCACCAUCUGAAUUGAGGGUAUUCAGUAGCACAUGAAUAUGAACAAAUGGCAAGCAUAAAUCUUUUGCAUGAAGUACACCUUCUAUCCCUUUAUUAUGGAACAAUUGACCCAUCUAAAAUGAAUUCUAAUGCCAGGAAAGCGUUUAGAUUUAAAUUACACCAUGGUCUUCUGGACCUGAAAGAUGACGGCAUAAAAAAGAUUAAUAUGCUAAUUAUUUUUCUCCUUAUUUUUUUCCCCCCUUCGACAUCCAUGGUGGGGUAUUGUGAAGCGUGUAAAUAAGAUGACUGUUUUGUCAAGAAAUGGCUCUGAGGCAUACUAUAUUCCAUUGCAAUUUAAUUUGUUUAUUCAAACCUUCACUCCAGAUUUUAACUGGUUUUGCAAUAACACUUUAUUUUUGCACAUAAUGUUUUUUGCCUUCACAGAGAAUACCUUGAAUAAGAAAACCAUGUUU